AAACAGCUUCACGACCAGCGUCGGAGGUUUGUCCGCCAUCCCCGACAAGUUCUCAUUCCUCUCUGAGAGUCGGCUCUUCCCCUGCCCAUCACUUCUUCACUGUGACCAGAUCUUGCAGACCUUGGAGACCUACUAGGGGUCAUAUAAAUAGCUCCUACAGCUGAGGUGGUUAGGCAUCUAAUCAGGAUGCCUCCUGGGCGAGGUGUUCUAGGCAUGUCCAAACGGGAGGAGGCCCCAGGGUACACCCUUGCCACAGAGAGAUUACAUCUCUUGGCUGGCCCGGGAACACCUCAGUAUUC